rnacentral:rRNA from 1 species
AGUGAACGCUGGCGGCGUGCUUAACACAUGCAAGUCGAACGAGAACGGAAUAUAGCUUGCUAUAUUUGCCAGCUAAGUGGCGCACGGGUGAAUAAUGUAUAGAUAACCUGCCCUUAAGAAAGGAAUAACUGUUGGAAACGACUGCUAAUGCCCUAUAUGCCUUUAAUACAUAAGUAUGCAAGGGAAACGCUUUAGUGCUUAAGGAUGGGUCUGUAUGGUAUCAGCUUGUUGGUGAGGUAAUGGCUCACCAAGGCUAUGACGCCUAACUGGUUUGAGAGGAUGAUCAGUCACACUGGAACUGAGACACGGUCCAGACUCCUACGGGAGGCAGCAGUGGGGAAUAUUGCGCAAUGGACGAAAGUCUGAUGCAGCAACGCCGCGUGGAGGAUGACACAUUUCGGUGCGUAAACUCCUUUUAUAUAGGAAGAUAAUGACGGUACUAUAUGAAUAAGCACCGGCUAACUCCGUGCCAGCCGCCGCAGUAA